rnacentral:tRNA from 1 species
GUUUAAAUAGUUUAUAAAAAACAUCAGUCUUGUAAACUGAAAAUAAAAAUUAUUUUUUUUUAAACU